CAAAUGUAUGUGUUAAAAAUGUUUGCCAUUUCAGAAUCAACGCUCCCACGAGUUAGUCGAAGAUGAAAUCUUUGAAAAGUAUUAUCAAAGGUGAGCAAUUAGUGCGUGAGUCUGAGCACUUGCUGCAGACAAUUGGCAGCGAAGCAAAUGCCGCACUGCGCCAAGCCAACUCAGAGCUGGGUGCGUGUAUAGACGAAUUCCGUGAAAUGUCGCUGCAGGUAUCGAAGGAUGUUAAUCAAUUGCAAGAUACUGUGAUGGCGUUGUUCCUAGCAAGCGCGUUAUAAUCCCAUUAAGAUAUGCGAUUUUCUGCUGGAAAACUGUUUAGAGCCACUAAUUUUGAAGCCAGUUUCAUUGGACUACAGAAAGCAUACCACAGCAAUCUUCUCUUGCAGAUAUUUCCGAUGCACACACAGUUGGCACUGCGCCGUUGAAAUUAUUGCGUCAGUGUUUGCGUCAAUUAGAUUUGUUGAAAAAUGUUUGGCAGAAUGUGUUACCCGAUGCAAUUUAUAACAAGACAUUUUGCGAUAUUAUACAUGAUUUUUGUAAUGAAAUAAUACGACGUAUACUCGCAAUGGAGGACAUUUCGGCAACAGUGGCAAGUGAGUUGAGUGAGCUAAUCGGUGUCAUAUUGGAGAAGGUGCCAACUUUAUUCAAGCACAAACAUGAAGUGAUACAUAUUAAAUCUUGGA